GACGAACGCUGGCGGCGUGCUUAACACAUGCAAGUCGAACGGAAAGGCCCUGCUUGCAGGGUACUCGAGUGGCGAACGGGUGAGUAACACGUGGGUGAUCUGCCCUGCACUUCGGGAUAAGCCUGGGAAACUGGGUCUAAUACCGGCUAGGAGCCAUUUUUAGUGUGAUGGUUGGAAAGUUUUUUCGGUGUAGGAUGAGCUGGCGGCCUAUCAGCUUGUUGGGGGGGUAAUGGCCUACCAAGGCGGCGACGGGUAGCCGGCCUGAGAGGGUGGACGGCCACAUUGGGACUGAGAGGCGGCCCAGACACCGACGGGAGGCAGCAGUGGGGAAGAUUGCACAAGGGGCGCAAGCCGGAUGCAGCGACGCCGCGUGGGGGAGGACGGCCUUAGGGUUGUAAACUCCUUUCGCUAGGGACGAAGCUUUUUGUGACGGUACCUAGAUAAGAAGCACCGGCUAACUACGUG
rnacentral:rRNA from 1 species